UACGUAGGGUGCGAGCGUUAAUCGGAAUUACUGGGCGUAAAGCGUGCGCAGGCGGUUCGUUGUGUCGGCGGUGAAAGCCCCGGGCUUAACCUGGGAAUGGCCGUUGAAACUGGCGAACUGGAGUGUGGCAGAGGGGGGUGGAAUUCCGCGUGUAGCAGUGAAAUGCGUAGAGAUGCGGAGGAACACCGAUGGCGGAGGCAGCCCCCUGGGCUGACACUGACGCUCAGGCACGAAAGCGUGGGGAGCAAACAGG
rnacentral:rRNA from 1 species